rnacentral:rRNA from 1 species
CACCAGGCGCGAAAACUUUACAAUGCGGGAAACCGUGAUAAGGGGACACCGAGUGCCAGCAUCAUAUGCUGGCUGUCCAGGUGUGUAAAAUACACCUGUUAGCAAGGGCCGGGCAAGACCGGUGCCAGCCGCCGCGGUAACACCGGCGGCCCGAGUGGUGAUCGUGAUUAUUGGGUCUAAAGGGUCCGUAGCCGGUUUGGUCAGUCCUCCGGGAAAUCCGAUAGCUCAACUAUUAGGCUUUCGGGGGAUACUGCCAGACUUGGAACCGGGAGAGGUAAGAGGUACUACAGGGGUAGGAGUGAAAUCUUGUAAUCCCUGUGGGACCACCUGUGGCGAAGGCGUCUUACCAGAACGGGUUCGACGGUGAGGGACGAAAGCUGGGGGCACGAACCGGAUUAGAUACCCGGGUAGUCCCAGCCGUAAACGAUGCUCGCUAGGUGUCAGACAUGGCGCGACCGUGUCUGGUGCCGCAGGGAAGCCGUGAAGCGAGCCACCUGGGAAGUACGGCCGCAAGGCUGAAACUUAAAGGAAUUGGCGGGGG